GUACUUGCUUCGGUAGCACGUAUACUAAAAUUGGAACAAUAUAGAGAAGGUUAGCAUAGCCCCUGCGCAAGGAUGACAUGCAAAUUCGUGAAGUAUUCCAUAUUUUU
ensembl:snRNA U6 U6 spliceosomal RNA